rnacentral:rRNA from 1 species
AUUGAACGCUGGCGGCAGGCCUAACACAUGCAAGUCGAGUGGAUGAAGGGAGCUUGCUCCUGGAUUCAGCGGCGGACGGGUGAGUAAUGCCUAGGAAUCUGCCUGGUAGUGGGGGAUAACGUCCGGAAACGGGCGCUAAUACCGCAUACGUCCUGAGGGAGAAAGUGGGGGAUCUUCGGACCUCACGCUAUCAGAUGAGCCUAGGUCGGAUUAGCUAGUUGGUGGGGUAAAGGCCUACCAAGGCGACGAUCCGUAACUGGUCUGAGAGGAUGAUCAGUCACACUGGAACUGAGACACGGUCCAGACUCCUACGGGAGGCAGCAGUGGGGAAUAUUGGACAAUGGGCGAAAGCCUGAUCCAGCCAUGCCGCGUGUGUGAAGAAGGUCUUCGGAUUGUAAAGCACUUUUAGUUGGGAGGAAGGGCAGUAAGUUAAUACCUUGCUGUUUUGACGUUACCAACAGAAUAAGCACCGGCUAACUUCGUG